CGAAAAUCUCCUGUAUGGACAGCACAUGCGGCUUUACGUCGGCCGUGUCGUCGGGAUAUCCUGCCGCCGCUUUGGGCAAGAUUGUCUUCAGGAGGAGCCGUAGGGACUCAGGGCUGACUUUCUCUCCGCCAGAAGGGGGAUUCACGCUACGCUGUGGCAUGGAGAAGAAAUGCAUUUCUUCACACUGGUGUGCACUGGAGCAUCUAAAUGUACAUUUAAAUGAAUACCUUGCCCAUGACUUGAGGUCAUGAGACUGACCUGGAAAUUCCUUGACUUUUAGUGCCACUUUGACCUCUUGGUUAAAGAGUCCACACCCCUUCAUAAAAUCUGUAAGUGAAUAAUGAUUAACUGUAAUGUGUUCCUUUAGGCUUUGGUAGGAGGAUUCUCCUGUUAAACAUAUUUAUGUUUUACUUUAAGUUUUCCCUUACUGCUGCAGAGUUCUAAUUGAAAUAAUUAGCAGUAAUACUGAAUUAUACAAUCAUCCAUUUUCUGUGUUUGCCUAAAAGUAAUCAAUCAAGUUGAUCAAAUAUCAUCAAAGUCCAGUCUCUUAUUGCGAAAUUUUUGUUCCAUUUUCUGUUGCGGUCAGUUUCUCUUCAUCUUUUUCUUUUUAAAGUUUUGGGAGCUCGUCCUUUUGGUUUGUAUUUUAUGGCUGUUGUCACAAACCAACUGUGGACCCAUGACUCGACUUUUAGGAAUGUUUUAG